UGGAUAUAAGAGCUCCACCUUAAAACUGGGGAAGUCAAGAAUAAUAAACAAGCAUUUAGACAAAGAUGUACUGGGUUUUUCUUGUGAAGGACUGGCUUCUUGGUGCCAUGUUAAUUAAUGUAGUUUAAUGGACACUGGAGAUUAACCAAAGAGGACUGAUAAAGGUCUACCUCACAGACAAUACGGGGGAUUAAAGCUUAGUCUAAACAUCCACAUACUCUGAUUUCUUUAUAUGCCUGUGGUCUACAGACAUAAAAUAAAACAAAGAGAUUAGAAGAGCACA